rfam:Desulfopila aestuarii DSM 18488 genome assembly, contig: EJ45DRAFT_scaffold00015.15
GCGGGAAUAACUCAGUGGUAGAGUGUCAGCUUCCCAAGCUGAAGGUCGCGAGUUCGAAUCUCGUUUCCCGCU